rnacentral:rRNA from 1 species
CACGUAGGGGGCAAGCGUUGUCCGGAUUUAUUGGGCGUAAAGAGCUCGUAGGCGGCUCAGUAAGUCGGGUGUGAAACCUCCAGGCUCAACCUGGAGACGCCACCUGAUACUGCUGUGGCUAGAGUCCGGUAGGGGAGCGUGGAAUUCCUGGUGUAGCGGUGAAAUGCGCAGAUAUCAGGAGGAACACCAGCGGCGAAGGCGGCGCUCUGGGCCGGAACUGACGCUGAGGAGCGAAAGCGUGGGUAGCAAACAGG